AGUUCGAUCCUGGCUCAGAUUGAACGCUGGCGGGAUGCUUUGCAUUACGCAAGUCAGAACGGCAGCACGGACUUCGGUCUGGUGGCGAGUGGCGAACGGGUGAGUAAUGUAUCGGAACGUGCCUAGUGGGGAUAACUACGAAAAGUUAAAGCAAUACCGCAUACGCCCUUCGGGGGAAAGCGGGGACCUUCGGGCCUCGCACUAUUAGAGCGGCCGAUAUCGGAUUAGCUAGUUGGUGGGGGUGCAACGGCUCACCAAGGCGACGAUCCGUAGCUGGUUUGAGAGGACGACCAGCCACACUGGGACUGAGACACGGCUCCAGACUCCUACGGGAGGCAGCAGUGGGGAAUUUUGGACAAUGGGGAAACCCCGAUCCAGCCAUCCCGCGUGUGCGGAUGAAGGCCUUCGGGUUGUAAAGCACUUUUGGCAGGAAAGAAACGGCACGGGAUAAUACCCCGUGCAACUGACGGUACCUGCAGAAUAAGCACCGGCUAAUCGCUGCGCCAGCAGCCGCGGUAAUACGUAGGGUAAAGCGUUAAUCGGAAUUACUGGCAAGCGUGCAGGCGGUUCGGAAAGAAAGAUGUGAAAUCCCAGAGCUUAACUUUGAACUGCAUUUUUAACUACCGAGCUAGAGUGUGUGUCAGAGGAGGUGGAAUUCCGCGUGUAGCAGUGAAAUGCGUAGAUAUGCGAGGAACACCGAUGGCGAAGGCAGCCUCCUGGGAUAACACUGACGCUCAUGCACGAAAGCGUGGGGAGCAAACAGGAUUAGAUACCCUGGUAGUCCACGCCCCAAACGAUGUCAACUAGCUGCUGGGGCCUUCUGGGCCUUGGUAGCGCAGCUAACGCUAUGAAGUUGACCGCCUGGGGAGUACGGUCGCAAGAUUAAAACUCAAAGGAAUUGACGGGGACCGCACAAGCGGUGGAUGAUGUGGAUUAAUCUGAUGCAACGCGAAAACCUUACCUACCCUUGACAUGUCUGGAAUCCCGAAGAGAUUUGGGAGUGCUCGCAAGAGGCACCGAACACAGGUGCCGCAUGGCUGUCGUCAGCUCGUGUCGAGAUGUUGGGUUAAGUCCGCAACGAGCGCAACCUCGUCAUUAGUUGCUACGAAAGGGCACUCCAAUGAGACUGCCGGUGACAAACCGGAGGAAGGUGGGGAUGACGUCAAGUCCUCAUGGCCCUUAUGGGUAGGGCUUCACACGUCAUACAAUGGUCGGGACAGAGGGUCGCCAACCCGCGAGGGGGGAGCCAAUCCCAGAAACCCGAUCGUAGUCCGGAUCGCAGUCUGCAACUCGACUGCGUGAAGUCGGAAUCGCUAGUAAUCGCGGAUCAGCAUGUCGCGGUGAAUACGUUCCCGGGUCUUGCACACACCGCCUGUCACACCAUGGGAGUGGGUUUUACCAGAAGUAGUUAGCCCAACCGUAAGGAGGGCGAUUACCACGGUAGGAUUCAUGACUGGGGUGAAGUCGUAAUGAAGGUAA
rnacentral:rRNA from 1 species